UACGUAGGGUGCGAGCGUUGUCCGGAAUUAUUGGGCGUAAAGAGCUUGUAGGCGGUUUGUCGCGUCUGCUGUGAAAAUCCGGGGCUCAACCCCGGACUUGCAGUGGGUACGGGCAGACUAGAGUGUGGUAGGGGAGACUGGAAUUCCUGGUGUAGCGGUGAAAUGCGCAGAUAUCAGGAGGAACACCCGAUGGCGAAGGCGGCGCCCUGG
rnacentral:rRNA from 1 species